rnacentral:lncRNA from 1 species
CGGAGUUUUUGCGUAGUAAAUAAAGUUCACAAAAUAAAGUGCAGCGGAUAAUCGAUGUCGUCGGUAACGAGGAAUCGGGCAAGGCCUAGCCCACUACUCCUCGUGCUCCUCUCCUGCCGGAGCCACAUCCCACUCGACCGUCCAACCCAGUGGCAGGGUGGUAGGCCAAGUCACACCAUCAACCAUUUCCUGAAUGGUACCUGCAAAAAUUGUGCCACAAGCAAGGCUGAGUAUACUAAUACUCAGCUAGACUUAACCGGUGUGAGGAGUCUACUCCUCUACCUCUAGACUAUGCAGCUGUUUGGCUGAGGGGUUUGGUUUGCCAAAAGCACUAGCUGUUUCUAAAAGCAAAUUUUAGCUUUUCAAAUUCUAUCAUCAUUAACUUAGCUAGAUUUGCUCCUUCUAAGCAUACAUGGUAACAAUCAAUUAGUUCAAUCAACAAGUUAUCUCAUGUAACCACAUUUCACUUCUUACUCGAUGCAGUACAAGGAAUCAAGCAGUCUCAUUAGCUGCGAGAAGCAGACGAUUCGAAUCGAGUUUUAACCUUGCAAGGUAAACCUAAACACACGGCAUGUCAGGGUACUCCGACCCCACACAUGACAACCGUCCCCAUCGAUUCCCCGUCCGCGUCCAGGCCUCACUGCCUUGGCAUACAAUGCUCCACUGACCCCGGCUGCCGCCGUGCAGUGACCACACUUGUACCCACCAUAGCUAGCAUGGGAGACCCAGUCUUAGGUCGCAUGAGGGAUAAAGUCCGCGCCCGACUUCACUCAGGUACUAGGUUUACCGGUUACCAUUUUUCCCAGCAUGUGCUUAGUACGUUCAAAAGCUUGACUCAGGUAUCCACACAUUAAUCCUUAAUUCAUUUUUCCCGUCUCAUGGACAAGGCAUCCUCCCUGGAUCCAAGUCCAUAGACUAACAUAUAUCCCGUUAUCAAGAUGAAUACAAUCAAUUCCUGACCUCGCGCGAGUGCUAGAAAAAUCACUCGACUUCUACCGAGAUCCUGAUUAGCAAGCAGCUACUCGACCUAGCAUACUAGUAUUCAUCUCAAAAGGAAUCCUAAGUUCAUGCAACUAGAGGUUUCAAGCAACUCCUACACUUAAGUGCACAUUUCAAUCCUACAAGCAUUAAGUGUAGUAAAGUAGCAUAUAAUAAUACAGUUAUGCAUAAAACUGGGGCUUGCCUUUAAUUUAACACUUAGAUAGUGUUUGCUAGGGGGUACUCGCUUGACGAGCAUCCACUGGUUAAGUCCAUCCUUCCUUGGGUCGUCCACCGACUGCACCUUGUGGUUGGCACCACAUCACUUGCACGAUCAUCAUCUCUCGGUCCUAAAUGAGAUGCAAGAUGCAUAUGUAUGAAUAUAAUGAAAGUAGCACAAGAUGUUCAAGACACAGUGGAGAACUAAACAUUAAAUUGUAAGACACCGUAAACAACCAUAUGCUAGUAUUAGCUAUCUACACUUCAUCGAUCAUACAUAAUCAAUACCAUUAGAAAGACAACAAAUACUUUCUAGAAUUAACCAGCGCAACACGACAUCACACGUGCAAGCAUUUAUCACAUUCACUUUAAUUGUUCAUUAGUUACUUAUUAUUAAACUAGUUAAGUACGCAUAAAUUUACGAUGACUUACACAUAGACAGACUUAGUUAAAAAGGAAUAGUUACUUAAUCGGGUUUUACAAUCAUUCACAACCUUCUACUGCAAGCAUACACCCAGAGAACACGCAUGAGGAGAUAGUUUAUUCAUAAUUACAAAUUGUACUACUUUAAUGGCAUUGGUUACUUAGUAGUAUUAGCAGAAAGCCAAGACAUGACAUUAUUCAUUUUGUUUCCCUAAUAUAUAACUGUACUUGCUAACUGUUGAUUAAGCUAAGAUACUUAUUAGACCUUAACCAAUUUAGUUCACUAACGUAGUGAGAUGUGUACUACUUACUUAUAUAUAACCCCAAUUAUACUAGUCACUUAUUAUUAUUACUCAUGUUCAGUCAAAUCCCAAGACAAACAAGCAGUCGACUCAAGACAGCUACAACAAAGUAGGGCAAUCAAUCACAUUCAACAUGUUUGGGACAGCAGCACAGCAGUCACUCAUUUUAAUCAUAACUCUUCAAAUAUUAAUCCAAAAAUAGCAAACUAGGACUUUAUGGAAAGCUUAAAAAGUGAACUACAACUUUGGUAUUUUUAUCUCAACAAGAUUCAACACUUAGCAAGGUCAAAAAGUGCUAACACAGCAACUCUGUCUAGAUUGGACAGAUUCAGACUUACAACUUCAAAAACUCACAACUAAAGAUUCAGACAUCCAAACUAAUUGAUUCUGGACUUUCUGGAAAGGUAAUAAAAUUGUCUACAUAUCAUUUAUAAACAUCUCAAGGUGAUUCAAUAUUUAACUAAGGACAAAAGACACUAGAAGGCUUUGCUGUCCAGAAUUGGACAGAUUUAGUCUUCAGAGUUUAAACAUCCAUAACUUAAUCUUCAGAUCACCAAAAAGAGUGAUUCAAGACUUUUUGAAAAGCUUGGCAAAAGCACUACAUACUUUUGUAAUCACCAAGAAUUGAUUCUAUGCUGAACUGAAUCAAACAAUUCAGUUUUCGAAAUCUGUUCUGUCAGUGGACAGAAUACAGCAACCAGUUUGAAAAAUUCAUAACUCCUAAUCUGUCAGGCAUAUGGUUAUGAAAUUUUAACACAAGCAAGAUAAGAAAAGCAUCUACAACUUUCUUAUAACGACCAUGAACAGUUUGUAACAUUAACUUAAGCAAACAAUUCAGUUUCUAAAAUCUGUACAGAAAUUGGACAGAUUCAGUUACUGAAUUUGUGAAAAGCACAACUCCUAAACGAUCAGACUUAUGCCUGUCAAAUUUUAACACCAGCAAGAUAAUAAAGUUAUCUACCACUUUUCUAUAGCACAUAUCUACAGAAAACACAAUUUGGUUCAUCAAACAUAUAGCACAGGGAAAUCACUGCGUGCAGCCCAAAACAACAACUAAUAAUUUCAGCUCCUAUUUACUUCAAGAAUUGUCGCGUUCUAGAAACUCGAACCAUUCUAACACUUUACCAUUUAUUAGCGUUAAAUUAAUCAAAUGAGGACUAAUAAGUAGACUUACUAAUACUUAUCCGUGUUAUUUUGAACACUAGAAGUACCAUACUCAAUUAACAACGCAUUCUCUACGAUAAUCAAUAUCGAAACGCUUUUCACCCAAUAAUUUGCAUUUUAACUUAGACUUCACAUGAGCACUACUACUUUUUACCCGCGAUCAUAACCAUACACCUUUAGGCCAUAACAAGAAAAUCAUCGUGAUUACGAGCUUAACCAACCCGUGUAACACUUCAGCUAACUAGAGCAACGGCAUAGCCCGCUAAAUAACAUACACGUUGGCUUGUCUAUUACUAUCACUAUUUAAGGCACAACAUACACCACAACAUUUUUAUAAACAUACAUAUUCACAUAUAUAUUCACACAUCGACCAAAUCAUACGAACCGUAAACCACUAAUCUCUAACUCGAAACCAUCAUGCGCUUACUUCCCAAUUCAUGAACACAUAACGUGUAUUGACCCGACUUAAGAUAUAGAGGAAGCUAUGACUACUUUGGCAUGUCACCACCUCUCUAUAUAAGCCAAAACAAUUUCUACCAUCGACUAAGAGUUCCAAGUAUUAAACACAUUAUUACUUUCCACGCGCAAAUAAACCUCAACUAAACACCAGUGACACCGAUGGAUUUUUACUAAACUCAUCGUGCGCAUAACCCUGUCUCGCAUACAACCAAAUUGUGGCGUGCACUCGAGAUACUUCGAUCAAUGUGGUGCGACCACUAAUAUAUGAACUCCGACACUCAUGUAUUAAUAAUUCAUCCUCCACGUAAAUUAGCAUUGUCUAAACUACUCGUCACAUUAACAAUUAUAUCCCCUAUAUAAUCACGAAUUCCAUCACGUUGCAUAAAACAAAUACACUUUUCACAUAAACACAUAUCGAUGCAUUUCCCAAAACAUAAUCCGCAUUUUGUAACUUAGUUUUCACAUUUAAACAACGCAUCGCAUAUUUUUUUCCUAUCAAAUAUAAAAUUGUCCGAGUUCUUUUCUACUUCAGUUUCUCCUCUACACGCGUUUAUUCAUACAAUUAUAUUUUCACGCACAUAUUCAUGCCAUCGACUGAAUCGUAAAUAAAACGAAAUCACAAUUUUUCUAAAGCGAACAACCUGGCCGACUCGUGUCGCGCAUGCCUGCAUGCUGGUUUGGCUUUCUGUCGAAACAACGCGUGAAGCGCGACGACGACAAGGGGCUGCGAUUAAACGACAUACACAAUUAUUUCACGGUGUAUUAGUUUAGUUAUUUUAUAAAAUCAAGGAACACGGAACAGCGAGGAGCUCACCGCGGAUUGACGGCAUCGCGACAGGGUAUGCGUAGAUCGACGCCGGGUGGCCCGCCCUGGCAAGCGCGACGCAGCGAAGGGCGUCGCUGCUGCUGCUUGCUGCGGCAUUACGUCAAGCACACCGAGGGCGCGACACGGAGGGAAUCCACGUGGCUGCGCAAACUGGCGUCGCGGCUGCUGCGCGAGGUCGACGGCGUUGACGACCAUGAAGGCACGAGCAGGGGCGCGCGCCGGCCAUGGGGCUUUGCGUCACGGCAUCCAUGGAGAGGAGCCACAGCUCGGCCAGGGAGGGAGCUGGGCGUUCCUGGCGCGCAUGCACAGGAAAACAGAGGGGAGGAGAAGUUGUUGUCGCCAUGCUUGAAGGGGGAACGCUAGAGAGGGAAGAGUUGCUGCUCCUGCGGCAAGGGACACAGGAAGAAGGCCGGCGUCGAGCUCCUGGACAUGGGGGCCGCUGGAGCAUUGGCUUCAUUCCCUGAGUAGGGCGUCGGCCAUUGGGGAAGAACUUCCUCUACGCAAGGAACAUAGAGGAGAGGGCUGGAGAUAGGAGCAGGGGGUCGGACACGACUUGGGAGAGGCAGCGUACGUGCAGGAAGAAACAAGGAGCCCAAGCC